rnacentral:rRNA from 1 species
UAAUCCGACCUAGGCUCAUCUGAUAGCGCAAGGCCCGAAGGUCCCCUGCUUUCUCCCGUAGGACGUAUGCGGUAUUAGCGUUCCUUUCGAAACGUUGCCCCCCACUACCAGGCAGAUUCCUAGGCAUUACUCACCCGUCCGCCGCUCGCCACCAGGUACAAGUACCCGUGCUGCCGCUCGACUUGCAUGUGUUAGGCCUGCCGCCAGCGUUCAAUCUGAGCCAGGAUCAAACUCU